UACGUAGGGGGCGAGCGUUGUCCGGAUUUAUUGGGCGUAAAGAGCGUGUAGGCGGCCAAACAGGUCAGCUGUGAAAACUCGAGGCUCAACCUCGAGACGUCGGUUGAAACCGUUUGGCUAGAGUCCGGAAGAGGAGAGUGGAAUUCCCGGUGUAGCGGUGAAAUGCGCAGAUAUCGGGAAGAACACCCGUGGCGAAGGCGGCUCCCUGGGACGGUACUGACGCUGAGACGCGAAAGCGUGGGGAGCGAACAGG
rnacentral:rRNA from 1 species